UCUGUCUCACACACUCACACACACACAGAACACGCUGUAAAGAAUAAAUUUCUAGAAGAUCGUAAACAUGGGAACUUUCAUGAAAACAAAGAGAGGUUGGUUCUGAUCUAAUAAAUGUCUAAAACCAUCAGGAUAAUUCGGUGGAGGGAGAAAGGAGGUAAACCGAUGGAGAGCCGGGGAUUGUUGGGCCAAGAUUUGUAGUCAAUUAAGUUGGAUUUAGCGAGGCCAUGAUGAGAUCCUCACUGACGCCGUGUUUUCAUAUUGGACCGAAGCUUCGGGCUCACCCGCGGCUCUGAUGGACCCGGCGGACGCUCAACCUCAAAUAUCCCACAAAGAGCCACAUUUAAUCAAGACCGAACCGUUUCCAGAUGCUUCUGAGGAGACAAAACGCUUCCCCAUGGAAAAAAGACUCAGAUUGAGCUCCAAUCUCUGCCUCAGUUUCUGACAGCCGUCCAAGCCUUGUCAGGAAGACGUGAAUGAUUGUCUCCCUCUUGCCUAAUGAUGCCAACAGGAGGAAACCAGCCCAGACUGACGAUGUCCCUGCUUUCCAAAAACCUCCAAAGGAAAAAGUUUGUGCCGAUCCAUCUCCCACCUGCUGAACUGCGGCACACAGCCAGCCUCUGGGUCCGCCUCGUUUUCCUCUGAGGGUCUGCAGAGGUCUCAGUACAUCUGCCCACAUCCAGUGUCCAUCCGUCCAUCUGCCCGUCCGUCCCCGUCCCCGUGCCUCUGUGACCCAGAAUCUCCAGAGUCCAAUCAGCUCAAACGAUCCGGUCAGGCUGUUGCAGCAUCAGGUGCCGAAUCCCCACUGUGUCAUCAUUCCUGCUUUCCAUCUAUGUGGAGAUUAAACAUUUAUUUACC